rnacentral:rRNA from 1 species
UAGGGAAUCUUCCACAAUGGGCGCAAGCCUGAUGGAGCAACACCGCGUGAGUGAAGAAGGGUUUCGGCUCGUAAAGCUCUGUUGUUAAAGAAGAACACGUAUGAGAGUAACUGUUCAUACGUUGACGGUAUCUUACCAGAAAGGAACGGCUAAAUACGUGCCCG